rnacentral:rRNA from 1 species
CCUGCUCAGAUUGAACGCUGGCGGCAUGCCUUACACAUGCAAGUCGAACGGCAGCACGGGGGCAAUCCUGGUGGCGAGUGGCGAACGGGUGAGUAAUACAUCGGAACGUGUCCUGUAGUGGGGGAUAGCCCGGCGAAAGCCGGAUUAAUACCGCAUACGCUCUACGGAGGAAAGGGGGGGAUCUUAGGACCUCCCGCUACAGGGGCGGCCGAUGGCAGAUUAGCUAGUUGGUGGGGUAAAGGCCUACCAAGGCGACGAUCUGUAGCUGGUCUGAGAGGACGACCAGCCACACUGGGACUGAGACACGGCCCAGACUCCUACGGGAGGCAGCAGUGGGGAAUUUUGGACAAUGGGGGAAACCCUGAUCCAGCAAUGCCGCGUGUGUGAAGAAGGCCUUCGGGUUGUAAAGCACUUUUGUCCGGAAAGAAAACCUCUGGGUUAAUACCCCGGGGGGAUGACGGUACCGGAAGAAUAAGCACCGGCUAACUACGUGCCAGCAGCCGCGGUAAUACGUAGGGUGCAAGCGUUAAUCGGAAUUACUGGGCGUAAAGCGUGCGCAGGCGGUCCGCUAAGACAGAUGUGAAAUCCCCGGGCUUAACCUGGGAACUGCAUUUGUGACUGGCGGGCUAGAGUAUGGCAGAGGGGGGUAGAAUUCCACGUGUAGCAGUGAAAUGCGUAGAGAUGUGGAGGAAUACCGAUGGCGAAGGCAGCCCCCUGGGCCAAUACUGACGCUCAUGCACGAAAGCGUGGGGAGCAAACAGGAUUAGAUACCCUGGUAGUCCACGCCCUAAACGAUGUCAACUAGUUGUCGGGUCUUCAUUGACUUGGUAACGUAUGCUAACGCGUGAAG